GCCGGCGGGGAAGUUGCAACUGGUUGAGCAGCUCCGAAUGUGCGUGCUUAGGCUUUGGAUACUUGAUUUUUUCUUUCUUUUUUUUUUUUUUCCUUUUCUUCUAUUUAUUUUUUAUUUAUUAAUUUUUACUUACCGCAGCCUAAAAAAGCAUGCCUUGGGGCUUCUCCUCCCUACCACAGCCGGGCCGCCCCAGCACAAGCGCAGCCAAUCCCGGCGGGUUGCGAGACGGAGGGAGGAGGAGGAGGGCGAGGGGCAGCCACGCGGGGCCGCGGGCGCGGCAGGUGGGGGAUGGCCCGGGGGGCGGAGGACAGCCGACACCGCCCAGAAGCCGCGCAGCUCCGGCCCCGAGCCGGAGCGUGGCUCGAGCAUCGCUGUAAGAGCCCGCGGCCGCCCCCUCCCGAGCUCUUAGCCGUCCCCUAAAGUUUAUUUUUAGCCCCCGGAAAGCGCUAUAAAGGUCCCGCGGAGCGAGCGGGCCGGGAGACGUGGCACCGCGCUGCCUGCAGGUACGUACCGGCGUCCCGCUCCGCUGCAUGCCCACCUGUGCCGGCCCAUCUGCCUUAGAGCUGUAGGUUGUUUCUGUUCGUCCAUAGAUUGUAAUGAAUUCCAUCAAAGCUUUUUUUUUUUUUCUUUUUUUUUUCAUCUUUUACGGCAGCAUUUCCAUGUUUCUGCUACGAACCGCAGGGCUGCCUUGUUUGCAGCACAAUCUCUCUCUAGAAGGAGGAGAGCUCUGAGAGUUUAUUAAAACAAACAGAACCGUGGAGCUGAUCCACGCUGGAGUAAUCCUAUGGAAAUAGGCUUUAAUUAAAACAGCCGGAAUCAAAACUUCACUGCAUGCCAGCACGCUGUGGAGCCAAAUGGCCCCGAGCACCCAGCUCCGGGGAGAGCGUCACUUUGGCUGCGUGCAAAAGAAACUUCUUCAAGGAGAAAUGUUAAGGAAAGUUGGUGAUUACCAUUAGAAACGAAGCUCGGGAAUUUGCAGCAUUCCCACUGAUUGUUUGUUGGGAAUAAUAAUUAAAAAAAAAAAAAUCAAAAGUUCUAAAGGGGGGGAAUUCUUUACUCACAGGACGGUGAGGCCCUGGCACAGCUGCCCAGAGAAGCUGUGGUGCCCCAUCCCUGGAGGCGCUCAAAGCCAGGUUGGAUGCGGCCCUGGGCAGCUGAGCUGGUGGGGGGCAGCCCUGCCCAUGGCACGGGAUUGGAGCUGGGAGGGCUUUGAGGUCCCUUCCAACCCAAACUGUUCUGUGAUUCCACGAUUCAAACUUUUUUUCCACUGCACUCACAUAACCCUGUGAGUCAAGGCCGCUGCCUUAGUUGUAACACUGCUUCUCUGUAAGAUGCCAAUGUAAAAUGUGUUUACGGAGCAUCACUUACCUAUGAAAUUUUGCUAUGUCAAGAAAAUGCUUCUAUAGAAAAUAUAAGAAUCCAUUUAUAGAAAAUAUAAGAAUCCACUUAUCCACAAAAUGCUAUCAAAGCAACUAUGGACAUAGGAUGAACUGUAUACGUUGCCCAUUAACUUGUUUGGCGUGGUGCUGUGCUAAGAUGUGCCUGUGCACAUCAGAAGGUCUCCCGUUCUGUCUCCAUCCAUUGCAACAACAGCUUUAGUCUUUUCCUUUUUACAUAGGAGAUGUACGUGGUUUUCAAUUGCUCAAAAAGAAAUCAAUGUUUUAAGAAUGAAAGAUGAGCACUCGGUAUGAGAAGCCCACUGCCAGUGGGGAAAAAAAAUGUAUAUCUGAAUUUUUGCACCCAGAGCGAUGAAUAUUUUGGGCCCUAACAAUUUAACAUUGGAAAAAAAUGGGUACAUACUUAAAAAAAUAUAUUUUUUGGAAGAUUGUUAUGGCUGUUGUGUGAUAGGUGGAUAAUGUUGUAGUACAGUAUGUUCUAAGAAAAACAUCUAUUGAAAUCAUACUUGAUAUCUCCGGAGGUUUUAAGCCACAUCCCUUAUAACCAUUUUCAGGAAAGAACAGUGAUGAUGUCAGAGAUUCAUUUGAUUUUGCUUUGAGAAACUCAUGGGCAAAGAACUAAAAAGGUGUAUAAAAACUGGUCAUGAAAUUACCCACGUUUGAAAUAAAGCCACCAAUUGUAUCAGUAAUUAAAACUAUGUCAAAGUGCAGAUGUGCUGAGCGAGCAAGAUGAGCAAUUUUAGGCAAAGCCAUCACUGGAUGUGCCACAAUUAUAACAAACUCAUGCUCAGGGCUAGUACUGGGGGUAGGGUGAGGAGGCACCUUGCACAGAAGCAUCCCAACCCCAGGCUCAGCCUCUAUGUGCUACCACAGCCCAAAUAAAUGAGGAGAACCUCAUGUAAACCAGAAGCGUCAUGCUGAGGGUAGAGAAAAUAAAGAAGCAGAUGCUGUCUGAUCUAAGGAAGAAAAGAAUCUUCCCAGGAACAAGUCCCAGUUCCAUCCCACCUCCCUUCCAGUAUGGAUCCUCUUCUUUUGCCCCCUGUUUUGCUGCCAUUCUGUUCCUUGCUGCCAUUGAUUCUCAAUCCCUCCUCGCAGCAAAACAGACCUGGGAUGUAGGGCUGGCAGCCUGCACAAGCAGUCAGGCACCAUGGUUGGAAGAGGAAGGGCAGCACAGCACCUCCGGCCCUUGGCCAGCUUGGUAAAAAGCCAGGAUUCAGCUGCUCCCUGUGGGGGCAGGAUGUAAGGAGUGCUGGAAAGCAGCGGGAGGGAGGGGAACUUCCAUCUGUUUAGGUAGAAAAGCCACAGUGUGAAGGAAGGUCUGUCUUCACACUGCCCGUCAGGAGUGCCUUGGAUAGCAUGGCUCUCUUUCAUUAUUUAGAAAAACACUGUCAGAUACUGUGAGCCUGAAGUUUAAGCUAGGUUAAAAGGAAGGAAGGGAAAAAAAAAGAAAAGAAGGGAGAAGUUAGCUUCAAAGUGAACCUUGAGCCAUGUUCUUUGCUCACGGUGAAAAAUGUAGCUUGCUUCACGAUUACAGAGUUCAAAGGUUUUAUUUUAUUGCCACCACACUUUGCCUUUUUCACUCCAUUGAAAACACUAGUUGUUAUUUUUUCCAUCACAUCAUCUGCUGCUCAGGAGAAACUCUCCUGAUGGCCAGAUACUUUCUAGAGCACACCAGCGGGAGCACAGUGCAUGCCAGCAAGCUCCCUUUCCUGAGCCAGUUCUAAAGAACCCAACCUGGUGUCUCGACUGCACCUUGCAUAUGUGGCCUUACUGAGAGUCCCAUCACUGUUUCUUCCCACUUUCCCACUGAAACUCAGUAAAGCAUUGGAGUGGUGCAAGUCCUCACCAUUCCCACCUGCGUUCAACAAGGUCAUCCUCCAAGGCUGGAUCCUCAUGAGUUGUCUGUAUUUAAAUGUCAGGGACCUCUGAUGGUGUUACAUGCAAAAAUACGGAUAGCUUCUCCAUCCCAGUAGAGCAGGUGACCCAGAGGACUGAAAUUUGCUAUCAUCAGGUGGUUCCAGCAGGGCAAGGCUGUUACAAAGCAGGACAAGCAGGGCUGCAGCUGUGUAUGCUGAGGAGUGCAUUCUCUAGGAGCAGGCAUUGCACAAGAUCAGACUGAGCAAAAUUUUAUUUGUCUUAGCAAAAGGCACCACGGCAAUACUUACUUUAAAUCACGGGGAAAUAAAUGUCAGAGUUGCAAACUCUCUUCUGUUUUUUGUCAGAUGAUUGUCUCCCAUUAUGUGCUGCAUCUAAAGGUUACACUGCCUGGGAUCUGCAAUAUUUGUGAGUUAGGAACAGUGAGAUUCUAAAUUACUAGGCUUUUGAGAGCUAGAUGUGCUUCUGAUGAGUUUUUAUUUACUGUUUGUGAUCAAAAGAAAGAGGAAAGCAGUAUUUAUUGUGAUAUUUGUAUGAUUAAGGCUCUUUAUAACCAAAAUGGUUUAAUUUUAUGAAUACUUAAGGUGGUAUUUUCAACGCAACUAUGUAACAUAAGUAAAUGUGAGCUUGCAUUUAUAAAUGUGUUCUGUUAACUCAUUUUGGUAAUUGCCUCUUUCCUUUCAUUAAAGUCUCAGACAGAUGAGACAGUUAAAGGAGCUGUUGUAUGAGCAUUAAAUUAGGGCUGCCUAACUUGAAGUCCCUCAAAGCAGUUAGAUAUUUGGUGAAAAUGAUGAAUUCUGGGGUGCUGACUCAUGUGAUCUGAAAAUGCCAUCCAUUUCCUGAUUCACCUUCAUGCCUUCUCUAGGAAAAGAAGAAUGUUUUACAAUGAACACCUGCAGUCAAACAAUGUUCUGUGUGUUUGUUUUUCUAUCUUUCAGCCACUUCUCUGAACUGUUACCUUCAAAAUGAAGAGCAAGACAGAGAAGAUAUCAAAAGGAGAUCAAAACUAUAAUGUCUACGCAUCCUGAAGUACCUCUUAUCUGUAAAGGACAUCCUCAUUCAGAGCAAACGUAAUGGAGAGAGGCAUGGAAAGGAACAGGUGAGACCAGUCCACCAGUGCAUGUCUCCAAGACUGGUUGCCUCCACCGGAAUUUUGGAUUUUAUAAUCAUGGGAAAGUCUUUGAGACACAAGAUCUGCUGGGGGUUGUUGUAACCCAUCUUUCUCAAUUGGGAAGAUAUUUCUUGGCCUGUAACUUGGUGAGCCUGAUUGAGAGGGCUUUAAACUACAAUCAGCUUGGGUGGGGGGGAUACCAUUAGGAACACUGAGGUUGUGCCACGGGAUGAUGUAGACUGUUUGAGAGUGGCAAGGCUAAUGGGAUCAUUUGUGACACUUCAGGAAGUUCUACAGGUUCAGGAAUACAUCUGAAAUGUUUGAAUACUAACACACACAGCAUGAGAAAAAAAUGGGAUGAACUGGAAGCUUUGGUCCUUUCCCAGACCUCUGAUAUCAUUGGUAUCAGGUGCUGUUGACUCCCUGGAGGGUGUAGAGGCUUUUCAGAGUGACAGUGGAGUAUCAAGAAUCACCAACAGCCUGAAGUUCAACAAAGGAAAAUGAUGAGCUCUGCACCUGAGAUGGAGCAAUGUCAAACACAAGCACAGAUGGGAGACAAGUGACUGGAGUCAAGCUCAGCUUGAGCCAGCGGUGUGCCCUGGUAGCCAAGAGGGCAAACUGCAUUUUGGGAUGCAUUAAACGCAGCACAACCAGCCAGUCAAAACAGGUGAUCCUUCCUCUACACUUAGCAUUACUGCAGCCUUACUUCAAAUAUUGUGUACAGCUCCGGACUCCACAAUAUAAAAAGUGUAUCAAUAUAACUUCAAAGCAUCUAGAGAAGGGCAAGAAGACUUGUAAAAGAGUGGAAAGACAUGUCCUAUGAGGAGAGGCUGAGGGUACUUGGGCUGUCCAACCUGAAGAAGAAGUGGCCGAGAGGCAACCUCACAGCUCUUUGCAUCUCCCUGAGGAAGGGAAGCAGAGGGAUGUGCCCAACUCUUCUCCCUGGGAACCAACAGCAGGAUGUAUGUGAAUGGCACAAAGCUGCAUUAAGGGAGGUUCAGACUGAACAUUAGGAGAAAUUCCUUUAUCAUAUACUGGAGCAGGCUUCCUAGAGUAGUGAUUCAUGUUGAAUGCCUGUCAGUGUUAAAGAGAUGUUUGGACAAUGUCUUUAAUGAUGUUUUAACAUUUGGUUAGUCCUGAAGUGGUCGGACAGAUGGACUAGAAUACGUCGCAAGGUCUCUUCCAACUGAACAAUUCUAUCCUAUUCUGUUCUGUUCCUUCACUUGUCAUUGUAUCAUAAAACAAAGGGAAUUCUUUAUUUGCCUUCUCCAGAGGGCCUUCUCACAUGAUAGUUCAAAUCUCAAUUUUCUGUCUUCUCAUCCACUUCUUUCAAGCCAAAAACUGCAAACAGCUUUUUAGAUUCAGGUAUACUAUGGAUUUCUACCUUGCUAAUUACUAACAUUAAGUUUUAUUUUUGACCACCUCUGAGAAUCAAGAUGAUGUUUUCACAGAGCUGCCACUUGCAACUCCAAUAUCUUUUUGUUGAAUACCAAGAACUUGAGAAUCCACUUCUACUUGUGCAAAGUUAGGUUUGUUUUGUUCUAUGAGCAUCCCACUACACUUACAUAAGCAGAAUUUCAUUCUCACUCUUACUAUCCAUUCAUGCUAUCUUCCGAGGUCUUUCUGCAGAAUUUGUAGAUGUUCUUUAUCUUUGCCACCCACAGUAACUCAGUAUUAUCAGCAUGUGCCCAAAUACCUCUUGUUGUACAUGAAGAAUGACAGAUUGAUUUUCACCAGAUUGUAUUACACAGUUUAAAAAACAAAAAGAAACUGAGACAAAAUACAACAAAAUGUUGUGCCUAUUCCAUCUUGAGCUCUGAUCUUUGACUGAGUUUGGAAAAGAAAAAGAAAAAAGAAUUAUAAACAUUGUCAUGUUUACCACUUCAAUGCAGAGGAUUUUGAUUUCCAAACUAUCUUCUACUGCUUGGAUUAUUUCCUUGAUGAACAGCAUGACAAUUUAAGAGAUUAUCACCAAUUAAUUCAAAAUGACCAUUUUGAGGUGUAAUCUUGAAGAUUCAAUAAAUACUGAGAAUUUUUUUUUUUUUU
ensembl:lncRNA